rnacentral:lncRNA from 1 species
UUGAGUUGGUCUUUAACUUGUGAGCGGUUGUGGUCAUGUUGUGAGAGAAGCUCACGCGGAGGUGGAGGCCAAGGUGUGUGCGGCUGCCGCCUGGACAUCUGUGCGAUCGACGCCGACGUUGGAAGAGUCGUAGAGUGUGAAAAUGAACCCGAGGGAGAAUUGGUGAAGUCGCGUUGAACGGCCGUCUCCAACUCUGACCUACUGAGGGAGCAGAUCGGAUCCAAGGAGCACCCCAGGCGACCUAGUGCAGACUGACGACAUCUGGAAGGGGGGAAAAAUGUAGUUAUCGAACCCAAUCAACUGUUUGUGUCUCUGAAAUUAUCAACAACAUCCAGUCGAGGAAGGUUCUGGUCGGUCCCACAGACGUAUGGCUGUCCAAGGAGCCACCUAAAGGUACGAUUCUCUGCCAUACUUUUGGCUUUACAAGCAGACAAAUGUUUUAUGUAUC